CUGUAACAUACUUUCUUAUUGGAUCUGACCUGAAUUUGCAAUGCGUUUUUCUUUUGUUUGACUAAAACCUACACAAUGAAACAUAUUGGACUGGUAAAAACAAAAUUAGCCAUCGGCCAAAAGUCGACCACAAUUGUAUAAUCCAAAAUACGAUAUUACGGCACUGGCCGUACUGCCCCGUUAGCCUGUGGCGUCGAUAGGGAUAGGGUAGGGCUAGAGUAGCUCAAUAUUCUGUAUCCACGAAUUAUAGUUUAAGACAUUUGGCUGACGUACUGGCCGUUGCCGCAGCCUGCCAUCGUUUCGCACCCAUUUUCCCAGAAGACAACCAGAGUCCCAAAAGCAUGUUUGCCCCUGCGAGUGUCCAGCAGCGCACAUAUUAACGCAUUCAGUGCGGUCCACGCGAUGUAGGACUAUGUUCUUGAGGAAGCGAUUUUAAGGGCUGUCCUGUGUUGCGUCCCAUCCGGUGGUAACAAAAGACUGGAUGCCUUCUACCUUGCUCUUAUAGGCUCCUAC
rnacentral:lncRNA from 1 species